AGCAGCUGUCCUCCACGCAGGCCCUCCCACCAGGCUGCCCGCCUUGGCCUUGGAGCCAGCCGACUAUGGACUGAAGCCUCUAAAAACAACGUUCCAGAGACAUCGUCCUGUUAAACAGCCCAUAUGGUUUCACUGCUGGGGUGAAAAAGAACAACACGAAAUGGGGUAAAUGGGGGAGACAGGAAAGACUUGAGCAGAAGUGAUUUAACCUUGGCUGAUAUUUACAUUGAAGAGAAAGAGGCAAGAGACAAUAUUGCCCCUCAGAGGAGGUAUACUCAGAGACAUUUUCAGUGCCUAACAAUUCUUGAAGAUGAGAUUGAACUUGUGACCACCCAGAGGAUGAGGAUGAAUAAAAGCAAGAAGAAACUGUCUGGUGCAGCUGCACCUUUCCCCACUUGUGUCCAGCAGUGAUAAAUGGAUAACGUUUCAUCCAAGGAGCUCAUCUCUCAUUUCAGCUGGAGCAGAAAUGAUUUCCUUUGAAACAGCCCACUUCCAAGUCCAGAUGGACAGAAGCGCAGUUCUAGCGCGGGCCACUGCCUGGAGGGAAGGCAGCUACGGCCCUGGGGGUGGCAUUGCAGCUUCCCCGACUUUGCCGUCUCAGAGGAGCCAAGUCACAUUUCUGGGCCCAUUAUUUCCCGCCCUUGAGAAAUGGUAGGAUCUGAGUAUAAUUAAGAUCAUUUACACCCCCCAACCCUUAAAAGAGCCAAACCUCAGAAUCUGUAGUCACCUGAUGCGUCUUUUGCAUCCACCUCCUUGUUUUGCUUGCUUUCUCCUUUGUCGUAUUUUUAUUUGCGAUUGCCUGUGUGUUUGAUUCCUCUACCAGAGGUAGAGAAACACUGCACUCCAGGCCUCGUUCCCCAGUCAUUUGCCAUGUACCCGAGAGCGGAGCUUGCCUUUUGCUUCUCUGGAGCCUUCCUGUAGGGUCUAAUUGCUUUUCGGCGUAGAGGAGCCUGCAUUCCCAUUUUAAACCGGCUGACCAACGUGCCUGCAAGCUUGCCAUGAGACACAUGAAGAGGAUCCACAGCUGCAUGCAGCAGGUCAUGGAAUUUAUACUGCUCAGUUUGGAGGUGUGCUGAGCUCCUGGGUCAUCCAUGCAGAUUCGAAAUCGUUGAGAGGCUGCUCUGCAAGGUCCCACGGCUCGUCCCUAGAAAAACACUGGAAGCAAAUCAGAAAACACUGUCUCAUGACUGUUUAAGAACUGGAAUAGUCUAUAUUCUCCUCAGACAAACAGACCUGGAAGAAUCCCAGAGAACACACAUUUUCAGGCUAUGAAGAAAUGAUGGUUCUGAAGUCAUCUCCUGAGUGUAAAUACCAGAGAUAAGAAGAGGUUUAAAGAUUUCAUUGAAAGCUAUGGUGUUACCUUCAUAUGGGGGACCCUAGAGGAUGUCGUGGACUGAAGAAGACCUACUACACCCCCGGCCCUCAGAGAAGAAACUGAAGAUGCCUGUGCAGCCAUCUCAAUGGCCAAGGCCACCCAAGCAGCGGUUCACUGAAUUCCUAGACGUCUGGAAGCUCACGGACACCACACUGAGCACCUCUUGCAAUUGUAGAGGCAAAGGAACAUCUCUCAUCUAUCAGGAAGUGCUUUCAUCUUCAACCAAAGGAAAAGAUCACAUGAGGAGUGAUGGCAAAGCACGGCCAGGGGAGGAAUUUCACAUGACGUGCAGAUGCUGGAGGAUGACGACACAUACUGGAGCUCACAGGAAUCGUGAGGUCCAGCGCAUCACACCUGUCUCUACGUUGUGCUUUCUGGUUCCUAGAAACAAAUACGUGUCUUGUUGUGCUAAACUUCGUCUUUUUCAACUUUACACCAUGCAUCUUGGUUUCCCUUGUACAAAAUACUAUGGAUAUAAUUCGAAGUCGACUUACUUUACCUUGUUGCAGGAUUAAUUUUAAACACAGAAUUCACAUUUCUGUUUGGAGAGUCAAAUGAAAGUCUCAUGAUCAUCAUUAUACUAAUGCAUGAAUGCAGCUGUCCAAUAACCAAGCAGGUAUUUGUCUAGUUUCUAUUCCAUUUAUUAGACUGCAAGAAAAAGAAGCAUUAAUCUACCUCUAGUGAUAUUGACAAG
ensembl:lncRNA